CUGACGAGCAUGCCGCGUGAGUGAGGAAGGUCUUCGGAUCGUAAAGCUCUGUUGUAAGAGAAAAACGGCACUCAUAGGGAAUGAUGAGUGAGUGAUGGUAUCUUACCAGAAAGUCACGGCUAACUACGUGCCAGCAGCCGCGGUAAUACGUAGGUGGCGAGCGUUAUCCGGAAUGAUUGGGCGUAAAGGGUGCGUAGGUGGCAGAUCAAGUCUGGAGUAAAAGGUAUGGGCUCAACCCGUACUGGCUCUGGAAACUGAUCAGCUAGAGAACAGAAGAGGACGGCGGAACUCCAUGUGUAGCGGUAAAAUGCGUAGAUAUAUGGAAGAACACCGGUGGCGAAGGCGGCCGUCUGGUCUGGAUUCUGACACUGAAGCACGAAAGCGUGGGGAGCAAAUAGGAUUAGAUACCCUAGUAGUCCACGCCGUAAACGAUGAGAACUAGGUGUUGGGGGAAUAACUCAGUGCCGCAGUUAACGCAGUAAGUUCUCCGCCUGGGGAGUAUGANGCAAAGUGUGAA
rnacentral:rRNA from 1 species